AAGGUGGGGAUGACGUCAAGUCAGCAUGGCCUUUAUGUCCUGGGCUACACACACGCGUACAAUGGCCGGUACAAAGGGCUGCAAUACCGCAAGGUGGAGCGAACCCAAAAGACCGGUCUCAGUUCGGAUUGGAGUCUGCAACUACGACUCCAUGAAGUUGGAAUCGCUAGUAAUACGCGGAUCAGCAUGCCGCGGUGAAUACGUUCCCGGGCCUU
rnacentral:rRNA from 1 species